CAUGCCUAACACAUGCAAGUCGAACGGCAGCACGGUCUAGCUUGCUAGACGGGUGCCUAGUGGCGGACGGGUGAGGAAUACGUAGGAAUCUGCCCUUAAGUGGGGGAUAACCAGGGGAAACCCUGACUAAUACCGCAUGAUCUCUUCGGAGCAAAGAGGGGGACCGCAAGGCCUCUCGCUUCUGGAUGAGCCUACGUCUGAUUAGCUAGUUGGUAGGGUAAAGGCCUACCAAGGCGACGAUCAGUAACUGGUCUGAGAGGAUGAUCAGUCACACCGGAACUGAGACACGGUCCGGACUCCUACGGGAGGCAGCAGUGGGGAAUAUUGGACAAUGGGCGCAAGCCUGAUCCAGCAAUGCCGCGUGUGUGAAGAAGGCCUUCGGGUUGUAAAGCACUUUAGCCUGGAAAGAAAAAACUUUGGUUAACACCCAAAGUCUUGACGGUACCAGGAGAAUAAGCACCGGCUAACUCUGUGCCAGCAGCCGCGGUAAGAC
rnacentral:rRNA from 1 species